AUUAUUUUUUUAGAUUCUUUUUUAUUGUUGAAAAAAUUAAAAACAAAUUGUUUUUUACAAUAAUUAAAAUUUAUAAUAUUUCAAUUUUUAAUUUUUAGUUUUAAAUAAAAAUUACAAAUAUGAAAAAUAAAAAAAUUUUGUUAUAAAUUAAAUUAAUUUAUUUAUAUUAAAAAUAUUUUUUAUAAUUUUUAUUUUUUUUAUUUUUUUAAAAAAAAAAUAA
rnacentral:rRNA from 1 species